rnacentral:rRNA from 1 species
CUUGGGGAUUUUCCGCAAUGGGCGAAAGCCUGACGGAGCAACGCCGCGUGAGGGAUGAAGGCCUCUGGGCUGUAAACCUCUUUUAUCAAGGAAGAAGAUCUGACGGUACUUGAUGAAUAAGCCACGGCUAAUUCCGUGCCAGCAGCCGCGGUAAUACGGGAGUGGCAAGCGUUAUCCGGAAUUAUUGGGCGUAAAGCGUCCGCAGGCGGCCCUUCAAGUCUGCUGUUAAAAAGUGGAGCUUAACUCCAUCAUGGCAGUGGAAACUUCUGGACUAGAGUGUGGUAGGGGCAGAGGGAAUUCCCGGUGUAGCGGUGAAAUGCGUAGAUAUCGGGAAGAACACCAGUGGCGAAGGCGCUCUGCUGGGCCAUAACUGACGCUCAUGGACGAAAGCCAGGGGAGCGAAAGGGAUUAGAUACCCCUGUAGUC